rnacentral:rRNA from 1 species
GAUGAACGCUGGCGGCGUGCUUAACACAUGCAAGUCGAACGGUGAAGCAGAGCUUGCUCUGUGGAUCAGUGGCGAACGGGUGAGUAACACGUGAGCAACCUGCCCCUGACUCUGGGAUAAGCGCUGGAAACGGCGUCUAAUACUGGAUAUGUGACGUGACCGCAUGGUCAGCGUCUGGAAAGAAUUUCGGUUGGGGAUGGGCGCGCGGCCUAUCAGCUUGUUGGUGAGGUAAUGGCUCACCAAGGCGUCGACGGGUAGCCGGCCUGAGAGGGUGACCGGCCACACUGGGACUGAGACACGGCCCAGACUCCUACGGGAGGCAGCAGUGGGGAAUAUUGCACAAUGGGCGAAAGCCUGAUGCAGCAACGCCGCGUGAGGGAUGACGGCCUUCGGGUUGUAAACCUCUUUUAGCAGGGAAGAAGCGAAAGUGACGGUACCUGCAGAAAAAGCGCCGGCUAACUACGUGCCAGCCGCCGCCGUAACAC